rnacentral:rRNA from 1 species
AUUGAACGCUGGCGGCAGGCCUAACACAUGCAAGUCGAGCGGAGCGGCGGACGCGUGCGUAAUGCCUAGGACUCUGCCUGGUAGUGGGGGAUAACGUCCGGUAACGGGCGCUGAUACCGCAUACUCUCCGAUGCGCCUAGGUCGGGUUAGCUAGUUGGUGGGGUAAAGGCCUACCAAGGCGACGAUCCGUAACUGGUCUGAGAGGAUGAUCAGUCACACUGGAACUGAGACACGGUCCAGACUCCUACGGGAGGCAGCAGUGGGGAAUAUUGGACAAUGGGCGAAAGCCUGAUCCAGCCAUGCCGCGUGUGUGAAGAAGGUCUUCGGAUUGUAAAGCACUUUAAGUUAGGAGGCGUUACCAGCAGAAUAAGCACCGGCUAACUUCGUGCCAGCAGCCGCGGUAAUAC